GACGAACGCUGGCGGCGCGCCUAACACAUGCAAGUCGAACGAGCGAGAGAGAGCUUGCUUUCUCGAGCGAGUGGCGAACGGGUGAGUAACGCGUGAGGAACCUGCCUCAAAGAGGGGGACAACAGUUGGAAACGACUGCUAAUACCGCAUAAGCCCACGGCUCGGCAUCGAGCAGGGGGAAAAGGAGCAAUCGGCUUUGAGAUGGCCUCGCGUCCGAUUAGCUAGUUGGUGAGGUAACGGCCCACCAAGGCGACGAUCGGUAGCCGGACUGAGAGGUUGAACGGCCACAUUGGGACUGAGACACGGCCCAGACUCCUACGGGAGGCAGCAGUGGGGAAUAUUGCACAAUGGGGGAAACCCUGAUGCAGCGACGCCGCGUGGAGGAAGAAGGUCUUCGGAUUGUAAACUCCUGUUGUUGGGGAAGAUAAUGACGGUACCCAACAAGGAAGUGACGGCUAACUACGUG
rnacentral:rRNA from 1 species